AUCGUCUCCGCGUAUCAGAGCUUGCAUUGGCAUCUUCGUUACUCUUAUUGUUUUCCUUAGGUUCCAAACUUGUAGGAAAGUUGUUGGAAUUGAUCGUCGCUUACCGUGACUUGGUUUAAGGGACUGAGUCCUGACGGGCUAACAGCCACCCCAUGUAACAGACAGUCUGACCCUGACUGUCCCUAAGGACGGCGUGUGCUAUAAGAAGAGACCUAGGAGAUCAAAAGGGAUUAGGCCAACAAUCUCCUAAGCAAACCCUCUCGGCACAGGCACAGCCUUGAAGGCCUCCGCCGGUCACCGUCCG
rnacentral:lncRNA from 1 species